GAUGAACGCUGGCGGCGUGCCUAAUACAUGCAAGUCGAGCGAACAGACGAGGAGCUUGCUCCUCUGACGUUAGCGGCGGACGGGUGAGUAACACGUGGAUAACCUACCUAUAAGACUGGGAUAACUUCGGGAAACCGGAGCUAAUACCGGAUAAUAUAUUGAACCGCAUGGUUCAAUAGUGAAAGACGGUUUUGCUGUCACUUAUAGAUGGAUCCGCGCCGCAUUAGCUAGUUGGUAAGGUAACGGCUUACCAAGGCAACGAUGCGUAGCCGACCUGAGAGGGUGGUAGGCGACAUGGGAAGGGGGCCAGGGUCAAGACGACUAAGGGAGGAAGCAGAAGGGAAUCUUCCGCAACGGGCGAGAGCCUGACGGAGCAAGGCCGAGUGAGUGAGGAAGGCGUUCGGAUCGUAAAGCUCUGUUAUUAGGGAAGAACAAAUGUGUAAGUAGCUAUGCCCGUCUUGACGGUACCUAAUCAGAAAGCCACGGCUAACUACGUG
rnacentral:rRNA from 1 species